AACUUUCAAUUUUUAACCUUUCAAUUAUAUCUCUUUCACACUUUUUCAUUGACGCCUUCUUCUUCUUCUCUUCUCCGGCUACCCUUCUCUCUUUCUCUCUCACUCUCACAUCAUCCUUCAUAAGCCACUUAGUCGUGCGUGUCGGCCCCUUUCAAUGAUAAUAGAAAAGGAUUCUAGUGCAGAUUGAAUCCUAGAGAUUGGCAUGGAUUGCAUCAUAUCAAAGAGGAGCUUUUUAUAAAUGGUAGAGGCUGGUGCAGAGACAUCUCUUUGAUGGAAAUCUUGGGGAUGAUGGAACUACUACAUCCAACAACGAACUGCUGGAAAGCAUGAAGGAGAGCGCCUGAUUAGCGUAAAACAUAACUAGAGAGAGGUUCGAUUGGAUCUGAGCGAGGUCGAGGAGAAAUUCGUGAAUGAAAAGCAUGUAGAUCUCUACACUAUUUCUUUGUGCCAUUUAUUCUCUAAAUCACGCAGAUCUCCCCCUCACUACCAUCAAGACGCGAGGUUACUUCUUGAAUUGAUGUGUGUUUUCUAUUUUAUUGUAGAUUCAUUUCAUUGUAUUAUAUUUUAGAUUUUAUUGUAUUUUUGCUUAUUGGAUUUUAUAUAUUUACAUAUUUUGAGAUUUGUUGGAUUUUAAUUGAGUGUUAUGAUUUUGUGAUUCAGUGC
rnacentral:lncRNA from 1 species